CAGCAGCCACGGUAAUACGUAGGGUGCAAGCGUUAAUCGGAAUUACUGGGCGUAAAGCGUGCGUAGGCGGCUUCUUAAGUCGGAUGUGAAAUCCCUGAGCUUAACUUAGGAAUUGCAUUCGAUACUGGGAAGCUAGAGUAUGGGAGAGGAUGGUAGAAUUCCAGGUGUAGCGGUGAAAUGCGUAGAGAUCUGGAGGAAUACCGAUGGCGAAGGCAGCCAUCUGGCCUAAUACUGACGCUGAGGUACGAAAGCAUGGGGAGCAAACAGGAUUAGAUACCCGAGUAGUCCCUGUCUCUUAUAC
rnacentral:rRNA from 1 species